rnacentral:rRNA from 1 species
GAUGAACGCUGGCGGCGUGCCUAAUACAUGCAAGUCGAGCGAACAGACGAGGAGCUUGCUCCUCUGACGUUAGCGGCGGACGGGUGAGUAACACGUGGAUAACCUACCUAUAAGACUGGGAUAACUUCGGGAAACCGGAGCUAAUACCGGAUAAUAUAUUUAACCGCAUGGUUCAAUAGUGAAAGACGGUUUUGCUGUCACUUAUAGAUGGAUCCGCGCCGCAUUAGCUAGUUGGUAAGGUAACGGCUUACCAAGGCAACGAUGCGUAGCCGACCUGAGAGGGUGAUCGGCCACACUGGAACUUAGACACGGUCCAGACUCCUACGGGAGGCAGCAGUAGGGAAUCUUCCGCAAUGGGCGAAAGCCUGACGGAGCAACGCCGCGUGAGUGAUGAAGGUCUUCGGAUCGUAAAACUCUGUUAUUAGGGAAGAACAAAUGUGUAAGUAACUAUGCACGUCUUGACGGUACCUAAUCAGAAAGCCACGGCUAACUACGUG